AUGCGAGUCAUUGUAGCAAUACAAGGCAUACGGCUCAGUAACGCGUAGUCAAUCUAACCUAUGGACGGGGAUAACCUCGGGAAACUGAGAAUAAUACCCGAUAGAACAUUAUGCCUGGAAUGGUUUAUGUUUCAAAUAAUUUAUUGCCAUAGGAUGGGACUGCGGCCUAUCAGUUUGUUGGUGAGGUAAUGGCCCACCAAGACUAUUACAGGUACGGGCUCUGAGAGGAGUAGCCCGGAGAUGGGUACUGAGACACGGACCCAGGCCCUAUGGGGCGCAGCAGGCGAGAAAACUUUGCAAUGUGCGAAAGCACGACAAGGUUAAUCCGAGUGGUUUCUGCUAAAGGAACCUUUUGUUAGUCAUAGAACCACUAAUGAAUAAGGGGUGGGCAAGUUCUGGUGUCAGCCGCCGCGGUAAAACCAGCACCUCAAGUGGUCAGGAUGAUUAUUGGGCCUAAAGCAUCCGUAGCCUGCUUUGUAAGUUUUCGGUUAAAUCCAUACGCUUAACGUAUGGGCUGCCGGGAAUACUGCACAGCUAGGGAGUGGGAGAGGUAGACGGUACUCGGUAGGAAGGGGUAAAAUCCUUUGAUCUAUCGAUGACCACCUGUGGCGAAGGCGGUCUACCAGAACACGUCCGACGGUGAGGGAUGAAAGCUGGGGGAGCAAACCGGAUUAGAUACCCGGGUAGUCCCAGCUGUAAACUAUGCAAACUCGGUGAUGCAUUGGCUUGAUGCCAAUGCAGUGCCGCAGGAAGCCGUUAGGUUUGCCGCCUGGGAAGUACGUACGCAGUAUGAAACUUAA
rnacentral:rRNA from 1 species